rnacentral:hammerhead_ribozyme from 1 species
GCACCGCUGACGAGUCCCGAAUAAGACGAGACAGCUGUCCAGUGC